GAAAAUUGAGGCGCGGAGGGCGGCUCUCCUGGUCUUCCCUGGGUCGAAGUAGCAGCUGAAAGAAGGUAGCAAAAGGUGAACUGCAUCUACAUGGAGGGAAGCAUGCAGCGGGGACACCCCAAGGCUCUAUCUUACGCUCAGUACUCUUCAACAUACAUGAUUUUGGUGAAGGGAUAGAAGGGGAGCUUACCAAUUUGGAGACAACAGAAGGAUCUUAACAGGCUUAAACAUUGGGUCCUUUCCAGCACAAUGUAAUUCAGCGGUGAGAAAAAUAAAGUUUUACACUUAAAUGCA